UACGUAGGGUCCGAGCGUUGUCCGGAAUUACUGGGCGUAAAGAGCUCGUAGGUGGUUUGUCGCGUUGUUCGUGAAAACUCACAGCUUAACUGUGGGCGUGCGGGCGAUACGGGCAGACUUGAGUACUGCAGGGGAGACUGGAAUUCCUGGUGUAGCGGUGGAAUGCGCAGAUAUCAGGAGGAACACCGGUGGCAAAGGCGGGUCUCUGGGCAGUAACUGACGCUGAGGAGCGAAAGCAUGGGGAGCGAACAGG
rnacentral:rRNA from 1 species